rnacentral:tRNA from 1 species
GGGGGUUUAGCUCAGCUGGUAGAGCGCUAGAUUUGCAUUCUAGAGGUCAGGAGUUCGACUCUCCUAACCUCCACCA